rnacentral:rRNA from 1 species
GAACGCGAAGAACCUUACCUACCCUUGACAUGCCAGGAAGCCCGCAGAGAUGUGGGUGUGCCCGAAAGGGAACCUGGACACAGGUGCUGCAUGGCUGUCGUCAGCUCGUGUCGUGAGAUGUUGGGUUAAGUCCCGCAACGAGCGCAACCCUUGCCAUUAGUUGCUACAUUCAGUUGGGCACUCUAAUGGGACCGCCGGUGACAAACCGGAGGAAGGUGGGGAUGACGUCAAGUCCUCAUGGCCCUUAUGGGUAGGCUUCACACGUAAUACAAUGGUCGGUACAGAGGGCUGCCAACCCGCAAGGGGGAGCUAAUCCCAGAAAGCCGAUCGUAGUCCGGAUUGUAGUCUGCAACUCGACUGCAUGAAGCCGGAAUCGCUAGUAAUCGCGGAUCAGCAUGUCGCGGUGAAUACGUUCCCGGGUCUUGUACACACC